GGGGGGCUGGCGCAACGGUAGCGCGUGAGAUUCCAGUGAUGGAGCUUCCUCAAGGUUGGGCGUUCAAAUCGCCCGUCCCUCA